UACGUAGGGGGCAAGCGUUGUCCGGAUUUAUUGGGCGUAAAGAGCUCGUAGGUGGUUCGGUAAGUCGGGUGUGAAACCUCCAGGCUCAACCUGGAGACGCCACCCGAUACUGCUGUGACUGGAGUCCGGUAGGGGAGCGUGGAAUUCCUGGUGUAGCGGUGAAAUGCGCAGAUAUCAGGAGGAACACCAGUGGCGAAGGCGGCGCU
rnacentral:rRNA from 1 species